rnacentral:rRNA from 1 species
GGAGAUAGCUGGUUCUCCGCGAAAUCUAUUUAGGUAGAGCGUCGACCGAAUACCCCCGGGGGUAGAGCACUGAAUGGGCUAUGGGGACUCACCGUCUUACUGAUCCUAAUCAAACUCCGAAUACCGGGGAGUACUACUGGGCAGACACACGGCGGGUGCUAACGUCCGUCGUGAAGAGGGCAACAACCCUGACCACCAUCUAAGGUCCCUAAGUUAUGGCUAAGUGGGAAAGGAUGUGAGGAUCCCAAAACAACCAGGAUGUUGGCUUAGAAGCAGCCAUCAUUUAAAGAAAGCGUAACAGCUCACUGGUCUAAAUAAGGGUCUUUGCGCCGAAAAUGUACCGGGGCUAAAGCCAUACACCGAAGCUGUGGAUGCACGUAUGUGCGUGGUAGCGGAGCGUUCCGUAAGCCUGUGAAGGGACAGUCGUGAGACAUCCUGGAGGUAUCGGAAGUGAGAAUGCUGACAUGAGUAACGAUAAAGGGAGUGAGAGACUCCCUCGCCGAAAGUCCAAGGGUUCCUGCUUAAAGUUAAUCUGAGCAGGGUUAGCCGGCCCCUAAGGCGAGGCCGAAAGGCGUAGUCGAUGGGAACCACGUUAAUAUUCGUGGGCCUGCAGGUAGUGACGGAUUGCGUGUGUUGUACAUUCUUAUUGGAUUGAAUGUGCAGCGAAGCGGUUCCAGGAAAUAGCUCCUGCAUAUAGACCGUACCCUAAACCGACACUGGUGGACUGGUAGAGAAUACCAAGGCGCUUGAGAGAACUGCGUUGAAGGAACUCGGCAAAAUGCACGCGUAACUUCGGAAGAAGCGUGACCCUUCUAUAGGCAACUAUUGGAGGGUGGCACAGACCAGGGGGUAGCGACUGUUUACCAAAAACACAGGGCUCUGCGAAGUCGCAAGACGACGUAUAGGGUCUGACGCCUGCCCGGUGCUGGAAGGUUAAGAGGAGAUGUGCAAGCAUUGAAUUGAAGCCCCAGUAAACGGCGGCCGUAACUAUAACGGUCCUAAGGUAGCGAAAUUCCUUGUCGGGUAAGUUCCGACCUGCACGAAUGGCGUAACGACUUCCCCGCUGUCUCCAACGCAGACUCAGUGAAAUUGAAUUCCCCGUGAAGAUGCGGGGUUCCUGCGGUUAGACGGAAAGACCCCGUGCACCUUUACUAUAGCUUUACACUGGCAUUCGUGUCGGCAUGUGUAGGAUAGGUGGUAGACUUUGAAGCAGUGGCGCCAGCCAUUGUGGAGUCAUCCUUGAAAUACCACCCUUAUCUAUAUGGAUGUCUAACUGCGGCCCGUUAUCCGGGUCCAGGACCGUGUAUGGUGGGUAGUUUGACUGGGGCGGUCGCCUCCUAAAGAGUAACGGAGGCGCGCGAUGGUAGGCUCAGGACGGUUGGAAACCGUCUGUUAGAGUGCAAUGGCAUAAGCCUGCCUGACUGCGAGACUGACGAGUCGAGCAGAGACGAAAGUCGGUCAUAGUGAUCCGGUGGUCCCGAGUGGAAGGGCCAUCGCUCAACGGAUAAAAGGUACGCCGGGGAUAACAGGCUGAUGACCCCCAAGAGUCCAUAUCGACGGGGUUGUUUGGCACCUCGAUGUCGGCUCAUCGCAUCCUGGGGCUGGAGCAGGUCCCAAGGGUAUGGCUGUUCGCCAUUUAAAGCGGUACG